rnacentral:rRNA from 1 species
GACGAACGCUGGCGGCGUGCUUAACACAUGCAAGUCGAACGGUGAUGGGUGGAGCUUGCUCUGCUUUGAUCAGUGGCGAACGGGUGAGUAACACGUGAGUAACCUGCCCCAGACUCUGGAAUAACCCCGGGAAACCGGUGCUAAUACCGGCUAUGACACAGAAUCGCAUGGUUUCUGUGUGGAAAGUUUUUCGGUUUGGGAUGGACUCGCGGCCUAUCAGCUUGUUGGUGAGGUAAUGGCUCACCAAGGCGACGACGGGUAGCCGGCCUGAGAGGGCGACCGGCCACACUGGGACUGAGAAACGGCCCAGACUCCUACGGGAGGCAGCAGUGGGGAAUAUUGCACAAUGGGCGCGAGCCUGAUGCAGCGACGCCGCGUGAGGGAUGAAGGCCUUCGGGUUGUAAACCUCUUUCAGCUCUGAAGAAGCGAAAGUGACGGUAGGAGCAGAAGAAGCACCGGCUAACUACGUGCCAGCCGCCGCCGUAAUAC